ACUAUGCUUGGCCCUAAACCUCAGUAGUUAAAACAACAAAACUACUCGCCAGAAUACUACAAGCAACAGCUUGAAACUCAAAGGACUUGGCGGUGCUUCACAUCCCCCUAGAGGAGCCUGUCCCAUAAUCGAUAAACCCCGAUCUACCCCACCCUCUCUUGCUCAGCCUAUAUACCGCCAUCUUCAGCAAACCCUGAUAAAGGUUACAAAGUGAGCGCAAAUGCCCAUCUUCGCAAAAACGUUAGGUCAAGGUGUAGCCCAUGAGAUGGUAAAAGAUGGGCUACAUUUUCUAUCUCAGAAAACCCUACGAUAACUCUCAUGAAACCUAAGAGUCCAAGGAGGAUUUAGCAGUAAAUUAAGAAUAGAGUGCUUAAUUGAACUAGGCCAUAAAGCACGCACACACCGCCCGUCACUCCCCUCAAAUAUACUUAAGGAUCACCUUAACUAAACGCCCUAAUAUUUAUAUAGAGGGGAUAAGUCGUAACACGGUAAGUGUACUGGAAAGUGCACUUGGAUAAAU
rnacentral:rRNA from 1 species